UAAAUAGGGAAUUGUUACCUAGGGUUGUCCGUGGAAACCGGGAAAUUUGGUGCCCGAGGGGUCCCAAGUCUGCAUCAAUCGGCCGAAUUGCGUAAGACCGACGGCAGGGUACAUCUUUGAGAGUGCUGUCGCAAGGGGACGUGCAAAUCCGGAGAAUGGGGUGGAACUCCUCUGAAAUCUGGUGCGCUUCAUUCCACGGGAAACCCAAACAAGAUGAAACACGCAUUCAGUUGUCGCGUUUGCGGUAUAUUAUUCUUGA
ncrna:unclassified sequences Hairpin-meta2 ribozyme sequence